rnacentral:rRNA from 13 species
AAUAAGUAUGUUUCUUUUUCGCAGAAAUGGUUUUUUAUCUUAUAAAGUUUUCUUUUAGGGAAUUAAAAUUUGAUCAUGGUUUAAGAUGAUUUAAAAUGGUAUUAUCUAAAUUUGAUUUACGGAGUAGGCAAUAAAUAUUUACCUCGGCAAUUUAUCGCUUGUAAAAUACUUGUUCCAGAAUAAUCGGCUAGACUUGUUAAAGCUUGUACUUUAAUUGAUGUUAAUUAUGAAAUAUUUUGCUUAUCUUUUAGAUUUAUGGUAGAAUUUGAAUUAAUAUUGGUGUACUUUCAUAAUUUUAAUAUUUGUUGAACAAAGCAGAUUAGUACCUGGUUAGACAAAAAUUAAAAGAGCAGGAGUAAAGUUGUAUUUAAACUGAAAAGAUAUUGGCAGACAUUCUAAAUUAUCUUUGGAGGCUGAGUAGUAACUGAGAACCCUCAUUAACUACUUAAUUUUUUGACUCGUGUAUGAUCGUUUAUUUUAUUCUUAAGGAUUAUAAUAAAAAAUUUUUAAUUUAUUAAAAUAGAUAUAUACCCGGUUUAUGAUUUAAGAAAUAUUUGGCCUACAAUAUUUUAUAAUGUGGAUUUAGGAUUUAGUAAUCUUAAUGAAAUUGUAAAAGACAGUAAAAAACUCUUUAUGUGUUUUUGAAGAUUAUCUAGAAGUGGUACAAAUCAUCCAUCAAUUGCCCAAAGGGGAGUAAGUUGUAGUAAAGUAGAUUUAGGGGAACCUGAAUCUAGUAAUAG